AGUGAACGCUGGCGGUAGGCCUAACACAUGCAAGUCGAACGGCAGCACAGUAAGAGCUUGCUCUUACGGGUGGCGAGUGGCGGACGGGUGAGGAAUACAUCGGAAUCUACUUUUUCGUGGGGGAUAACGUAGGGAAACUUACGCUAAUACCGCAUACGACCUACGGGUGAAAGCAGGGGAUCUUCGGACCUUGCGCGAUUGAAUGAGCCGAUGUCGGAUUAGCUAGUUGGCGGGGUAAAGGCCCACCAAGGCGACGAUCCGUAGCUGGUCUGAGAGGAUGAUCAGCCACACUGGAACUGAGCCACGGUCCAGACUCCUACGGGAGGCCGCAGUGGGGAAUAUUGGACAAUGGGCGCAAGCCUGAUCCAGCCAUACCGCGUGGGUGAAGAAGGCCUUCGGGUUGUAAAGCCCUUUUGUUGGGAAAGAAAAGCAGCAGGUUAAUACCCCGCUGUUCUGACGGUACCCAAAGAAUAAGCACCGGCUAACUUCGUG
rnacentral:rRNA from 1 species